rnacentral:pre_miRNA from 1 species
UAUAUACUCCCUCCGUCUCAAAAUUCUUGUCUUAGAUUUGUGUAGAUAUGAAUGUAUCUAGUCAUGUUUUAGCUUUUAGAUACAUUCAUUUUUAGACAAACUUAAGAGAAGAAUUGUGGGACGGAUGGAGUAUGUA